rnacentral:rRNA from 1 species
GGUUAAGCGACUAAGCGUACACGGUGGAUGCCCUGGCAGUCAGAGGCGAUGAAGGACGUGCUAAUCUGCGAUAAGCGUCGGUAAGGUGAUAUGAACCGUUAUAACCGGCGAUUUCCGAAUGGGGAAACCCAGUGUGAUUCGUCACACUAUCAUUAACUGAAUCCAUAGGUUAAUGAGGCGAACCGGGGGAACUGAAACAUCUAAGUACCCCGAGGAAAAGAAAUCAACCGAGAUUCCCCCAGUAGCGGCGAGCGAACGGGGAGCAGCCCAGAGCCUGAAUCAGUGUGUGUGUUAGUGGAAGCGUCUGGAAAGGCGUGCGAUACAGGGUGACAGCCCCGUACACAAAAAUGCACAUGCUGUGAGCUCGAUGAGUAGGGCGGGACACGUGGUAUCCUGUCUGAAUAUGGGGGGACCAUCCUCCAAGGCUAAAUACUCCUGACUGACCGAUAGUGAACCAGUACCGUGAGGGAAAGGCGAAAAGAACCCCGGCGAGGGGAGUGAAAAAGAACCUGAAACCGUGUACGUACAAGCAGUGGGAGCACGCUUAGGCGUGUGACUGCGUACCUUUUGUAUAAUGGGUCAGCGACUUAUAUUCUGUAGCAAGGUUAACCGAAUAGGGGAGCCGAAGGGAAACCGAGUCUUAACUGGGCGUUAAGUUGCAGGGUAUAGACCCGAAACCCGGUGAUCUAGCCAUGGGCAGGUUGAAGGUUGGGUAACACUAACUGGAGGACCGAACCGACUAAUGUUGAAAAAUUAGCGGAUGACUUGUGGCUGGGGGUGAAAGGCCAAUCAAACCGGGAGAUAGCUGGUUCUCCCCGAAAGCUAUUUAGGUAGCGCCUCGUGAAUUCAUCUCCGGGGGUAGAGCACUGUUUCGGCAAGGGGGUCAUCCCGACUUACCAACCCGAUGCAAACUGCGAAUACCGGAGAAUGUUAUCACGGGAGACACACGGCGGGUGCUAACGUCCGUCGUGAAGAGGGAAACAACCCAGACCGCCAGCUAAGGUCCCAAAGUCAUGGUUAAGUGGGAAACGAUGUGGGAAGGCCCAGACAGCCAGGAUGUUGGCUUAGAAGCAGCCAUCAUUUAAAGAAAGCGUAAUAGCUCACUGGUCGAGUCGGCCUGCGCGGAAGAUGUAACGGGGCUAAACCAUGCACCGAAGCUGCGGCAGCGACGCUUAUGCGUUGUUGGGUAGGGGAGCGUUCUGUAAGCCUGCGAAGGUGUGCUGUGAGGCAUGCUGGAGGUAUCAGAAGUGCGAAUGCUGACAUAAGUAACGAUAAAGCGGGUGAAAAGCCCGCUCGCCGGAAGACCAAGGGUUCCUGUCCAACGUUAAUCGGGGCAGGGUGAGUCGACCCCUAAGGCGAGGCCGAAAGGCGUAGUCGAUGGGAAACAGGUUAAUAUUCCUGUACUUGGUGUUACUGCGAAGGGGGGACGGAGAAGGCUAUGUUGGCCGGGCGACGGUUGUCCCGGUUUAAGCGUGUAGGCUGGUUUUCCAGGCAAAUCCGGAAAACUAAGGCUGAGGCGUGAUGACGAGGCACUACGGUGCUGAAGCAACAAAUGCCCUGCUUCCAGGAAAAGCCUCUAAGCAUCAGGUAACAUCAAAUCGUACCCCAAACCGACACAGGUGGUCAGGUAGAGAAUACCAAGGCGCUUGAGAGAACUCGGGUGAAGGAACUAGGCAAAAUGGUGCCGUAACUUCGGGAGAAGGCACGCUGAUAUGUAGGUGAAGCGACUUGCUCGUGGAGCUGAAAUCAGUCGAAGAUACCAGCUGGCUGCAACUGUUUAUUAAAAACACAGCACUGUGCAAACACGAAAGUGGACGUAUACGGUGUGACGCCUGCCCGGUGCCGGAAGGUUAAUUGAUGGGGUCAGCGCAAGCGAAGCUCUUGAUCGAAGCCCCGGUAAACGGCGGCCGUAACUAUAACGGUCCUAAGGUAGCGAAAUUCCUUGUCGGGUAAGUUCCGACCUGCACGAAUGGCGUAAUGAUGGCCAGGCUGUCUCCACCCGAGACUCAGUGAAAUUGAACUCGCUGUGAAGAUGCAGUGUACCCGCGGCAAGACGGAAAGACCCCGUGAACCUUUACUAUAGCUUGACACUGAACAUUGAGCCUUGAUGUGUAGGAUAGGUGGGAGGCUUUGAAGUGUGGACGCCAGUCUGCAUGGAGCCGACCUUGAAAUACCACCCUUUAAUGUUUGAUGUUCUAACGUUGACCCGUAAUCCGGGUUGCGGACAGUGUCUGGUGGGUAGUUUGACUGGGGCGGUCUCCUCCUAAAGAGUAACGGAGGAGCACGAAGGUUGGCUAAUCCUGGUCGGACAUCAGGAGGUUAGUGCAAUGGCAUAAGCCAGCUUGACUGCGAGCGUGACGGCGCGAGCAGGUGCGAAAGCAGGUCAUAGUGAUCCGGUGGUUCUGAAUGGAAGGGCCAUCGCUCAACGGAUAAAAGGUACUCCGGGGAUAACAGGCUGAUACCGCCCAAGAGUUCAUAUCGACGGCGGUGUUUGGCACCUCGAUGUCGGCUCAUCACAUCCUGGGGCUGAAGUAGGUCCCAAGGGUAUGGCUGUUCGCCAUUUAAAGUGGUACGCGAGCUGGGUUUAGAACGUCGUGAGACAGUUCGGUCCCUAUCUGCCGUGGGCGCUGGAGAACUGAGGGGGGCUGCUCCUAGUACGAGAGGACCGGAGUGGACGCAUCACUGGUGUUCGGGUUGUCAUGCCAAUGGCACUGCCCGGUAGCUAAAUGCGGAAGAGAUAAGUGCUGAAAGCAUCUAAGCACGAAACUUGCCCCGAGAUGAGUUCUCCCUGACUCCUUGAGAGUCCUGAAGGAACGUUGAAGACGACGACGUUGAUAGGCCGGGUGUGUAAGCGCAGCGAUGCGUUGAGCUAACCGGUACUAAUGAACCGUGAGGCUUAACCUU